AAAUCCCCUUACCAAUAAUUACUAGUCUGGAUAAGGAAGAUCCUAAAAACGGCAAAUCGUUGGUGUGAAAAGCGUUGGUGAGCUAGCUGCAGCUGGCGAGUUUUAGCUGGAGAAGUCAGACCAAGUAACAGGCACGACCAGUUUCUCUGNAACAAUAAUUCAAAAAGCGUCGCUUACUAGAAUCGCAUUCUCAAAUAUUUCACCUUUCAAAGAGUGAAGGUAGAAAAUGGCGCUUCAGGGAACAGUUUUUACGCCGUCAUUGGAAGG
rnacentral:misc_RNA from 1 species